rnacentral:rRNA from 1 species
UAUUUUAGUCUUGUUAGAGGAACCUGUUUUAUAAUCGAUAAACCACGUAUAUUUUACUUAUUUUAAAUAAUUUGUAUACCGUCAUUAUUAGAUAACUUUCAAAAAAUUAGUUAUUAAAAUUAAAUAAAAUUAAAUAUAUUAGAUCAAGGUGCAGUUAAUAAAUAAGAAAAAAUGGGUUACAAUAAAAUUUAUUUAAAACGAAUUAUAUAAAUGUAAAAAUAUAUGAAGGAGGAUUUAAUUGUAAUUUUUUUAUAAAAUAAUAAUAUGAUAAUAGCUCUAAAAUAU